GAAGAACGCUAGCGGCAGGCCUUAUACAUGCAAGUCGAGGGGCAGCAUUUACUUCGGUAAAUGGCGACCGGCGCACGGGUGAGUAACGCGUAUGCAACCUACCUUUAACUGGGGCAUAGCUCGAGGAAACUCGAAUUAAUUCCCCAUAGUACAUUAUAAUAUCUCAUGAUAUAAAUGUUAAAGAUUUAUCGGUUAAAGAUGGGCAUGCGUCUGAUUAGUUUGUUGGUAAGGUAACGGCUUACCAAGACUACGAUCAGUAGGGGGUCUGAGAGGAUGACCCCCCACACUGGUACUGAGACACGGACCAGACAUCUACGGAUGGCAGCAGUAAGGAAUAUUGGGCAAUGGGCGCAAGCCUGACCCAGCCAUGCCGCGUGCAGGAUGACGACCCUAUGGGUUGUAAACUGCUUUUAUAUAGGAAGAAAAUACUCUUGCGAGAGAAACUGACGGUACUAUAUGAAUAAGGACCGGCUAACUCCGUGCCAGCAGCCGCGGUAAUACGGAGGGUUCAAGCGUUUUCCGGAUUUAUUGGGUUUAAAGAGUGCGUAGGUGGUUUAUUAAGUCGGUGGUGAAAUCCUGCAGCUCAACUGUAGAACUGCCAUUGAUACUGGUAAACUUGAGUUUGGUUUAGGUAAGCGGAAUUUAUGAUGUAGCGGUGAAAUGCAUAGAUAUCAUAAGGAACACCAAUAGCGAAGGCAGCUUACUGGACCACAACUGACACUGAGGCACGAAAGCGUGGGUAGCGAACAGGAUUAGAUACCCUGGUAGUCCACGCCGUAAACGAUGCUCACUCGAUGUUAGCGAUAUACCGUUAGCGUCCAAGCUAAAGCGUUAAGUGAGCCACCUGGGGAGUACGCCGGCAACGGU
rnacentral:rRNA from 1 species